rnacentral:rRNA from 1 species
GAUGAACGCUGACAGAAUGCUUAACACAUGCAAGUCAACUUGAAUUUGGGUUUUUAACUUAGAUUUGGGUGGCGGACGGGUGAGUAACGCGUAAAGAACUUGCCUCACAGCUAGGGACAACAUUUAGAAAUGAAUGCUAAUACCUGAUAUUAUGAUAAUAGGGCAUCCUAUAAUUAUGAAAGCUAUAUGCACUGUGAGAGAGCUUUGCGUCCCAUUAGCUAGUUGGAGAGGUAACAGCUCACCAAGGCGAUGAUGGGUAGCCGGCCUGAGAGGGUGAACGGCCACAAGGGGACUGAGACACGGCCCUUACUCCUACGGGAGGCAGCAGUGGGGAAUAUUGGACAAUGGACCGAGAGUCUGAUCCAGCAAUUCUGUGUGCACGAUGAAGUUUUUCGGAAUGUAAAGUGCUUUCAGUUGGGAAGAAAAAAAUGACGGUACCAACAGAAGAAGUGACGGCUAAAUACGUGCCAGCAGCCGCGGUAAUACGUAUGUCACGAGCGUUAUCCGGAUUUAUUGGGCGUAAAGCGCGUCUAGGUGGUUAUGUAAGUCUGAUGUGAAAAUGCAGGGCUCAACUCUGUAUUGCGUUGGAAACUGUAUAACUAGAGUACUGGAGAGGUAAGCGGAACUACAAGUGUAGAGGUGAAAUUCGUAGAUAUUUGUAGGAAUGCCGAUGGGGAAGCCAGCUUACUGGACAGAUACUGACGCUAAAGCGCGAAAGCGUGGGUAGCAAACAGG